CAGUCGCCGCGGGAAUACGUAGGGUGCGAGCGUUAAUCGGAAUUACUGGGCGUAAAGCGUGCGCAGGCGGUUAUAUAAGACAGAUGUGAAAUCCCCGGGCUCAACCUGGGACCUGCAUUUGUGACUGUAUAGCUAGAGUACGGUAGAGGGGGAUGGAAUUCCGCGUGUAGCAGUGAAAUGCGUAGAUAUGCGGAGGAACACCGAUGGCGAAGGCGAUCCCCUGGACCUGUACUGACGCUCAUGCACGAAAGCGUGGGGAGCAAACAGGAUUAGAUACCCCUGUAGUCCCUGUCUCUUAUAA
rnacentral:rRNA from 1 species